rnacentral:lncRNA from 1 species
GGGUGGUAGGUGAGUGGGUAUUGCGGGCUAGUAUCCGAGCAAAAGAUGGUGGCGCAGGCCGAGUUAAGAGCUUUAAUCCUGUGAAGACAUCUUAGUGAAGAGUUUAGAGUGCUGAGAGUUGAAAGCUUGCACGUGGGAAACGUGCGGCCGGACUGCCACAUGUACUGAGGUUGAGUCGUGACGGCCACAGGCUCCGAGUUUUGGCGUGAGGAACCGCUGAUCGGCCACGGGCGCCGAACUUGCUGGCCUCCGGCAUGUGCCUGAGCGGCGGCGGAAAAACCACCUUAAUUGGGGCGGAGGGUUAGUUUUAACAGCAAAGGGCCUUUACUAAAAUGGCGAAGGCCUUCCGUCGGCGUUGUUUUAAAAUGGGAAGCCUCGACCCUGUAUUGAAACUGAGCUGUUCGAAGGCGGCGUUGUGUGCAAUUCGGAUUAAUGAAGGGGAAGGGUUUUGUGUGGAAAAACGCCUUGGAGUGUGACAUUUCUGCGAGAAUGCUUAAAUACCGAUUUCCCGCAGGAACAAUGGCGCUGUCUUCAGUGGCACAGUGGAGCAGCUCUGAAGAUGCAAAGAUACACGAAAAAACUUCCAGAACAUCUGGGAGAAUAUUUAAUGGAAAAUCGCUUGGUUAAAACCUGACACUUUUAACAGUGAACAGCGUUCUGAGUGUGGACGAGUAGCCAGUGAAGAUAAUGAAUGUCGAAUGUGACUGACUAGCAGCUUCAUUUUGAAUGAGGGUCGCUGUCUGCCCAUUGAUAGAGGCCAGAUUGUCUUGGAAGUUCCAAAGUUGCAACGAUUUCUGGCUAGUGCCACGAGGUUUACUUGACUGUUGUGUGAAAAGCUGAUAAGAAAACCAUCCAGAAAAAAGCUCUUCGUUUUACAAACAUGAAAAUAAAACAUGUAAUUUUGGAUUAUGUUCCUUUUUGUUAUUACUUUUAAAUAGGUCCUGAAAUAACAUGGGGAGCAUUAAAUGGAAAAUCCACUAA